UGGGGAAUCUUGCACAAUGGAGGAAACUCUGAUGCAGCGACGCCGCGUGAGCGAUGAAGCCCUUCGGGGUGUAAAGCUCUUUCGGCAGGGAAGAUUAUGACGGUACCUGCAGAAGCAGCUGCGGCUAACUACGUGCCAGCAGCCGCGGUAAUACGUAGGCAGCAAGCGUUGUUCGGAGUUACUGGGCGUAAAGGGUGCGUAGGCGGCUUUUUAAGUUUGGUGUGAAAUCUCCCGGCUCAACUGGGAGGGUGCGCCGAAUACUGAGAGGCUAGAGUGCGGGAGAGGAAAGUGGAAUUCCUGGUGUAGCGGUGAAAUGCGUAGAUAUCAGGAGGAACACCGGUGGUGUAAACGGCUUUCUGGACCGUAACUGACGCUGAUGCACGAAAGCGUGGGUAGCAAACAGGAUUAGAUACCC
rnacentral:rRNA from 1 species